AAGUUAGAAAGGAAGCGUGUGCUGUACUGUACAACGUGAGUGUCUUGGUCCGAUUUGGUGCAAUCAAUGAUGUUGAGGCUCAAUUCUUCGAAUCCCCAUCUCAUCGUAACUGCACUUGAUAUCUCUUCUGCUUCAGCGUCUAAAGCUCUUCUCAGGUGUUUGAGAUCAAUAAUGAUGCUAAAAUGAAGAGAACAAGUCGAAGGCCACUACCCUCAGGACGCAUCACAAUACCUCAUGCUGUUGGCUCGGCAUCCUCUGUUGGAUUAGCUGAUUUGCGUACUUUGUUGUUUGUAUGCUUUUCUAGUGUAAUUUGAUGUGCUUUGUGUGGAGGGACUAACAUUGCUGCUUUAUGACAAGGUUAUUCCAGACUAAUAUGUUAGCUGCUGGGCUUGCUGCUUCCAACCUAAUUCUGUAUGCAUUUGUAUAUACACCCUUGAAGCAGAUUCAUCUCGUAAAUACAUGGGUGGGAGCUGUUGUCGGUGCUAUUCCACCACUUUUGGGAUAAAGUUAUGUACAAUUGUUUUUGGCUUUCAUAUGUAUUGCAAAUUUCAGAAUGCUUUAGGAAUAUAUGUGACUGUUGUUUAACUUUUUUUUACCAUGUGCAAUGUAAAAUCCCUAUGAAGUUAUGUUGUUCCACACAAGAUUGAUAUGGCUUGACUCAAUAUUUUUCAUGCUGGUAUUUUGUGUGCGUUAAAUUUCCAUUGCCAGAGACGAAUUUUAUCCAAGUCAUUUAUUGACUUUCUAUUGGUCAAGGUAUUAUUAGUUUUAAAUAUUUGGCAGAGUUAUUCUAAAGCUUAACCCCCCUCUUUGUUAGUCCAAUGGGAUUAAUGAGUGAAAUGUUGAAAGAUCAUGUAAUUCAAUCCCUAACUACCUGAAAAUGAGUUUCAAUUCUUUUGAAGUGAAAAUGAGUUUCAAUUCAAUCUCUCUUUUUCCUUUCUUCUUUACUCAUGUUGUCUCACUUCAUUCACCAUGUGUGUAUAGGCAUGUGCACGUGUAUUUUUUGCCCUUCUUCACCUUCUUUUUAUGUUGAUUUUCAGAUGGGCUGCAGCUUCUAAUGAUAUUUCACUAAAUGCAAUGAUUCUUCCAGUUGCUUUGUAUUUUUGGAAAAUACCACACUUUAUGGCCUUAGCCUAUUUGUGUCGUGAUGAUUUUGCUGCUGGAGGGUUUAAGAUGUACUCUCUUGCUGAUGCAUCUGGGCAUAGAAUAUCAUUGGUGGCUUUAGGGAACUCUAUGUAUCUAAUCCCUUUGGGGUUCUUGGCUUAUGACUUAUUUGUUUUCUGAAGUGCAUUAGUAAUGGAAGAAUGGAGAGGAUAAUGAAAGUGAUUGGCGAAUUCGCCUCUUGCAUUCCCAAAUCGUCAGUCUCUCUCACUCACUCCAAUUUGCAGCGACUCAGAGGACAUUUCUUGUCUCAUUAAAGUGUGCAAAAGCAAAAGAAUGCAGCAUCAGCUGGAGCAAAAUUGUUUUGCUUUCCUGGCCCUUCUCUUAUACAGAUACAGCUGUUUUAACACGAGAGACACCUAGACCCAAGUCCGCAUGUGUCCCAUCUGAAAAAUAUUCUGAAACUAGUGAACGAUCGACCCAAGUCACUCAACCUAGCUGGUAUGCAUCACAAUUACAAUGAUCACCUUCAGAGUUCAGACCAACAUAGAAAAGAUUAAAUCAUAAAGUGUAUAUAUAUAUAUAUGGCUGUUAUAAGGGAAGGAUUAUUGCUGGUCCCCUUUGUGUUGGGGUCACGACAGCAACUUCUAUGUGUCAACUUUUAUUUGGGCAUUAUUCAAAUGUUAUGCGAGUGAAUUAAUUUUUAUAUAUAGCACCUUUGGCAUUAAUAUUAUAUGAUAUAUAUCACUCUUUUUUGCAUCA